UACGAAGGGGGCUAGCGUUGCUCGGAAUCACUGGGCGUAAAGGGUGCGUAGGCGGGUCUUUAAGUCAGGGGUGAAAUCCUGGAGCUCAACUCCAGAACUGCCUUUGAUACUGAAGAUCUUGAGUUCGGGAGAGGUGAGUGUAACUGCGAGUGUAGAGGUGAAAUUCGUAGAUAUUCGCAAGAACACCGGUGGCGAAGGCGGGACUCUGGGCCUUGCCUGACGCUGAGGCGCGAAAGCUAGGGGGAGCGAACAGG
rnacentral:rRNA from 1 species